UCACUCCCAGGGCAAAGGUCCAGUGUUUCUUCAUGGAGGGCCAUCACCAAGGCUCCUGAGUUACCCGGGGACUCGCCCGUUCUCCUGACCAGAGAAUGACCAGGAUACCAGGGCCAGCCCGGAGCUGGGCAGAAUCUCUUAUGCAGAAGGAUGGUUACGGUGCUGCUUCUUGAAGUCAUCGGCAAGGAGAAUGAGGCUGGGAGUGGGAAGACCUGACUCUGGGCCUGGCAUGUGCUAAAUGCUCAGGAAGCAACAUCACUCAUGGUGAGAACUGGAAAACUCAAGAGUAAGUGCCGUCUGAUUGAGUCUUCUUGGUUUGCAUUGAAGGACCACGGUCCCGAAACGGAAACCUCGUUUUCCGAGGCUGCUCAGGCAUGUGCAGGCACAGCUGGGGUUAGGAGUCCCAUCUCCUGGAGACUGUCUCUGUUCACCAGGCUGCUCAAAGGCCUGAUGCUGUACUUCCUCUUCAUAUUCCCGGGGCUUCCAGGCCAAAGUCUCAGCAGUGACAUUGCCCAGAGUUGGAAGACUGCUGUAAUCUUCUUUUUUUAAAUAUGAGAACACCAAACCCUCGAACAGAAGAGCAAAUACGUAUUGAACACGUGUUCAGGGACCUUCCUGGUGGUACAGUGGAUAAGAAUCUGCCUGCCAAUGCCGGGGGUGCAGGUUCUAUCCCUGGUCCCAGAAGAUCCACGUGCCCCAGGGUAACUAACGCCUGUGGGGCACACCCACUGAGCCUGCACUCUGGAGUCCACCUCUGUGGUGCAACCAUUGAAACCCUUGCCUAGAAGCCGUGUCCACAGGAGGAGCCCAGGCACCUCAGCUCACCGCUCGGAGUAGCCCCCACUCACCGCAAAUAGAGAAAGCCCGAGUACACAGUGAAGACCUCCAAAAAUGAGUGAACUGCGUGCAAAAGUGUAAGAAGUGGCUGAAGGAAACGCGUCCGAACUGAAGGUGGCGUCUCUUGGAACAGAGAAGAGCCUGGGGCAGUGGGCAGAGAGCCCCGCGUGAAUUGUUGUGCCUCUCACCUCACAGGCAGGGACUUCCCUGGUGGUUCAGUGGUUCAAAAUCCACCCUCCGCAUCAGGGAACGCAGGCUCAAUCCCUAGCCAGGGAGCUAAGAUCCCUCAUGCCAGGAAGCUACCAAGCCUGCGUGCUACACCAGGAGAGAAGCCACAACA